UACUCCUGUUAUUGAGGCAAAUAUGGAACCAUGUAAGGGCUUUUAUUCAAACAAUCACCUUAAUGUGAUUAUUCACCGUAACCACGUCUUUAUGUCCAGUGACAGCUAUGCAUUUUUUUUAACGCAUGUCAAUGCUUUUUUUUUUUUAUAAACAUAUGUUAGUGCAUUUUUUUUAAAUGUAUCUUGGUGCAUUUUCAGAUUGGAGCUCUGCAGGAAUUCCGAUCAUCUGUUAAUUAUUGUUGGAAAUGAGCUUCGUUAUGUGCCGGGGUUUUCCCUGGCAGGAAGACAUUAAAGGGCAACUCUUGGAGUUCUUAAACAUGAGUUCUAUUUUUACAUGUUUUUGAGUUUAUCUUGUCACUCAGGAUAAAAUCAAAUUUAAUCGUUGCUGUAUUAACUAAGAACCCAAAUAUCGUCAUGGGCUAACAGACUACAAAAUGGAAUGGGGCAAUUUAAACACAAAAUAACCUACUUCUUGUUGCCACUGAGUAUGCAAAAAUCUCAUUUGAAGUGUGGUAGCAUGGAGAUGAUCCCUGUGGAGGUAAAUUUGUACAUGUUUACCUCGCUAAAUGUAAAGAAACUUUUUAAAACAAACAUUUAUACAGUUAGCCACUACCCCUAGCCUUAUUCUGUUUUGUAGAUGCUCUGCACAGCUUGCGAAUGUGAAAAGUUCCAGAAUUGUACCUGGUCAUAUCAGAAUUGUGCUACUGCACAAGACUCCCCGAAUGCAAAUGCAUUUUUUU